rnacentral:lncRNA from 1 species
CUACUGAACGUCAUUCUCAAAGAAAUCCCAUGAGGCUAAGCGGAACAGGGUGGUGGGCGGGUUUAGGUUGAAACAACUGGUUCUUGCCUGGAUGCUACCAAAGCCGCUGUCGCCUCGCCCUUCACUUACGAGGGUUAGAUCAAGCAGGGCUGGUUUUACUACUUUCCUCCGCCUGGUGUCGAAAAGCCGGAAGAAAUUGGAAUGAAGGGAGCGCUUCCCAAGGAUGGAUACAAAGCCUGCCAACUUGAUAGCUGCUUCGAAUCCAUAUAUCUAUGUUUUUGUUAAAGCCUUGAUGGGGACCUUGUAGCACACAACCAUGUCGAAUACGCUAGAACUCAGCAUUGAAAGAGAACCAAGCUCGAUAGGAAAUUUGUUGAUGGUGAGCUUCUCCAAAAAAAACUAUAAGUACAAGAUCUCCUUCUUUAAUAGCGGUAUCACUACCUGACCGGCGGGCCAGCCGCUCGUCCAGCCGUGUUAAAGCUUCCAUAAAAAAAGCCAGACUAAGCAAUAAGGUACCCCGUAUCACGUUCUAUGGGAAAGAGUUGGAGCAGCCUAGAUAAGAAAACCCAGGAGCCCUACCCAAGAGAGGAUCUUAGCUGUGACUAUGCCAGGCCUUCUGUUGUCAGAUUGUAAAUGUUAUGUAAUUUGUUUCAACGAAAAAGUAAUUAGAUCAUAGGUAGGGGGGAAGUGUGCAACAGAGCAUAGGGUAUGAAGGGCAGCACUUCCUUGUAGGGUGUGGAAGAGGGGAAGCUUUCUAUGUGUGGAUAGAGGACGUCGUGGACGGACGAAAGAAGGGAUCCUGAUUACGAAGGGUCGAAUACAGUUCAGCAAGUAGGGCUUGCUCCAGUUCCUUAUGCCCCAGAGAAGCAUUGAGCGAGCUCUUCAGGUGUUGUGAUGAGACCGCGUUCCAUCGGGUUUUCCUAAAUUAAGAGAAAUCGGUUUCUAGUGCAAACUGAGAUCUUUGAGCUAGGCUGAAAUCUUGUCACAGAGUGGACUCAGUUUGUCAGGAAGUGAAUCGUCUUUGGCGGAAUCUGUCAAUCCAUCAAUAUAGAAAUGAAAAGGGAGGAAUGCGCCAAGCUUUAAAGUAGGAACUGGAAAUGGUUCUUUUAAAUUGAGAUAUAGGCUAGCUAAAUGAAAUGUCUAAUAGGCUAGUAGUCAAGGUUGGGAGCACCAUGGUAGCGGUUGGUGGGGGGCUUCGUUCCUUGAAUAUUGAAGCGUUCAUUGUUGGGCCCUAUUCGUUCGAUCAAAAAAAAAGGGGGGGAAUAAUUAAGAAUCGCUUAGAAUUUUUUAUUAUCGUUCGUAUAUAUAGUUAUAUAUAUAUAUAUAACUAUAUAACUAUAUAGUGAACAUUUUAUUUUUUUUGAUUUUCUUUUUGUUUAGGCCAGAUCUACACCUAAGUCUUCAUCCUACCGGUCCUCCGCGCAAUUUGAACUACAAAGUCAAAAAUUUAAUUAGGGCUACUGAACAUUUUGCCUAUGACAAUAUCUACUUAAAAGCCCUGGCUCUUAUCUAAGAACCAAAGCCACACCUAUCUUAAUCUCAUGCUCCACCCAACUUCUCUCGUUACUCCUUUCUAACAGAGCUCUUUGGCGAAUACUCCACUUUUUAAUGAUUAGAUCAUCCCAUGCCUCCACUAGUGAACCGCUCCCUACUCUCUCAACCAUCAAAAUAUGAUCUUGAGAUCGACGCUAUCUAGAUGCAUCAGUCCCAUAUCUUGGACUGUAAUACCAAGAUGGCUCUGGUAAUAGUCCUCUUUGUAGGUACAUUACCUAACAAUAAUGACACUCAUCUAACUAAGUUAGACUCUGAAAUAAAUAUUCAUAUCUACCAUACAUGUCCUUUGCCGGCAAGCUACCCUCCGUAAUUUCUAUCCGCCCGCCGGGGAGAGUCAUAAGUCCAACUAGCAAAUGGCUAUCGAGAGCUUACUGAACGGCUUUUCAUCGUAUAACGGGCGAGGUACUUCUAAAGAAGAAGAUAGGCCCCGUCGAAAUCGAGCUCCAAGGGCGAAGCCCUAAUUUACUAAGAAGGGGCGCCUAAACAAAAUAAGAAAAAAAAAAGGGCUAUAAGUAGGCCGUUUGCUAUUGCUAUAAGGGCUGCUCGCCUUUUGACGGCUUGGCUUCGCUAUCGCUCCUAUGUAGUGGUCAGCCUUAAAAGGAGUCUUCCUACCAUACCAGAAUGCCUAUGUUAUAGUGCGUUAAGCUUCGCCAGAAGCAAGCAAGACGAGGAAGCGAAGCUUCGUAGACAAGGCUCGUUCCGUGCUUGACUUACGAGCUCGUGUAGUAAGGCCUCGCCCUACUUCAAUAAGGGCUGUAUCACUCCACUCGUAAACGAGCGUUAGAGCGAAUUGAGCGAGCGAGCGAAGCCUUCCUGGAGCUUCCCCCUUCCCUCACCCUACAAUUUCAUUUCCGCCUCCCCAGUUUAGUUGGUUUGGAGGAUGAAUUGAUUGGAUACCCGAGAACCAUAAUCUUUCAAAGGAACAGCUUCUACGACGAUAGAUAGGGGUCAGGUUUGGCAUCUAUGCCCCCUGCCCUCCAAACAGUAUGAGAGCCUUUCAGCUCGUACUGCUCACACUCCUAGAUCUUCACGGCGGCACCUCCGCCACCAUAGUGUGAGCUGGGAGCAGCUCCGAAAAUCCCGGCCUACUAAAAAAUGAGCUUGAAAGUCAACGUCAACAAGAACAACACGAAUUGGUUGCCCACUGAUCUGAUCAUAGGUGAAAUCCAAUCCCUUCGCCUCUCGGAAGCGAGAAAGGGAGCAGCAAGCGUAGGCUUCGACAGUGCGUUUUGGGGCGCUAGUACUUAGUUGCUUUGGCGCGCCCCCUUUUUUUUUCAGAUGUCCACCCCAAACCGAAGGGGCGGAGGGCGCACAACCCCUUCUCCGCUCCUUUCCUGAGCGUUUCACACUAAGCUCUUCGAUUCUGCCCUGCGCCUCUCUGGGCUUCGCUAUCGCUCAUGACUGGUAGUUGUCUCUAUGUAGUGGUCGGCCUUCGUUAAGCUUCGCCAGAAGCGACUAGUCGAGUCUACGAAGCGAAGUACUUGCUUCCCCCCUUCGCCUCGCCAUGCCACUAGAUCUAUAAUGACCGGCGAGUCGGAACAUGUACAUAACCACGCAGAGCGCCGGGCCGGGAAUCGCAAGAAUUUGAAAGUCCUUUAUGGAAGGGUGGGAAAGAAAGGUUCGAAAAUUGCCGGAUUAGCAGGAGGGAGGGCGGCCCCACCCUGAAACAAAGGUGUACAUACAUAAGAAGAGGCUGAUUAUGUCGGUCUCCUUCCCAUCUAUAUUGACCGGGAAGAGGGGGGAGGCUCUUGCGGAAGCCCUGCCCGCCCUUCUCUAUUUUGAGGGAUCCCUCAUCUUGAUGAUUCCAGGCUUCCCGGACUUGUAACAGACGGCUAGGAACAAGAAGAGGAUAAGUAGUCUCUGCCGUAGCAGGUCCUUCUCCUUCCGCUGAGACGGCCCUCUUUUUUUUUUUCGUUCACCGCGGCACGAAAGAAUGAAGAAGCUGAAAUAACUCAGAAAGAGAGUGGCGCCUAGCCGUUGAGAGCGUCUGUUGUCUUUUAAGAAUAACUGUACGAUCUUGGACUGGCCCCCUUCGCAUGACCUAGAAUGAAAGAAAAAGAGGUCCGUGCUACUAUAAGGCCUCUAAACUCCUCCCUCAGGACACUGUUGCGUUGCCAUGGGGACGGGGUAGCCCCGACUUCUAUAGGUCCUUGGUUCGACCUCCUAAUGAGAAUUGAGGUCCUUGCGCGGGCGUCUCAUCCCUAAGACUUGCUUGCUCUGUAUGGAGUGUCCCGUGGUUCCUCGAGUGCCAGCCGCAGAGAGGAAUGCCAUCAACUAGGGCGCUAUUUGCCACUAACCACUCGCUCGCCGGCCGCUCGGGCUCCGCGUUUCAAGUUCGUUAUCCUAACCGUCUCCCCUGCUCUACCGGGAGCCUGGCCCCUUCUUCUAUCUUAUCUACUGCCUUGCUCCUCGGCUCCCUACUGCUCCAGCCGCUCGCUGUAAUAGCUUGCUUCUCGGGUGGCUCGCACCCCGACCCCGGGUGGUGCGGCUGAGCCAGAGUGGGCUCAGCAGUCGGCCUAUGUAUCCGGGCGCACGCGUAAAGGCAUGAUUAGUUCCACGAAUCUCACUGCACUGACCAUAGUAAACUCCUUCUCGUUGUACCAAAAUGGAGGUCUGAUUUGAACGACCAGGUACAGCAUCACAUUUGACACCUGAGGAAGGUACAGCCCAACUAUGAGGUACAUCAGCAGGUGUUACAAUCAUACGUAGAUGAGUUUUGGCUGGUACAACCACUCUAUUGUCAACUUCUAAUAAACGUGAUUGACCCAAUUCUGGAUCAUCUUCUGGAAUCGUAUAACUGUCAAAAGUGAGUGACUGUUCAUCGGAACUGUUAUAGUCCGAAUACUCAUAAGGUUGGGUCGACGCCCGCCUCCCCCCAAACUUGACUUGCAAGUUUCCCCGCAAAAAGCUCUCCACGCCUACUCUUAUAAAGAGCACUAUUCUUCUUUAGUUAGGUAGUUCUCCCCCCUCUCAGAGACCGUAAGACCCCGGUGGAAUCGAAGGCCCGCUUACUAAUAGGCAACAGGGGACCGUUUCUCGCCCAGCCCUACCUACUUCAGUUAAGCUGGAACCGAAAAAGACCUGGUUCCACACACAUGAGACACGAAGAAGGUAUGGGACGACCAGUUCACCACGGAAAGCGAAUUCGAUCCUAUAGUCGUCUUCUUUGUUUGAAAAAUGCGCAGUGGAAAGGGAUGCUAGUCGGCUCGGCGAAGUUGUAGGCCCCAAUAGAUCAGAUCAAGAGUGAUUCCUCACCUAUCCUGUCAGGGGCCAAGUCGAACGCUCGAGUAUAGAUUCCCUAUGCUCAUGUGAACGGCCGGCCCGUAGAUCUAAAAGGAUCCAUCCAUAGGCCUGACCGGAAAGUUUGUCCACGAAAAAAAAAGUCGUUCAUGAGACCUCGAAUUCCCACGUUCCAGCGUGCAUUAUGCCAGCAGGUCCCACCCCCAAUUGAUUGAGUCACCCUUAUAUUUAUUUAUAUAAAUAAAGACAUAGUAUAUAUCCUCUAUAUAGAUCAUAGGAUCACUCUAUGAAUAGGUCAAUUCUCUUUCUUUGACCUCCCACCGUUCACGACAUCCCUUGCUUCUCGCUGCGAACGGCUCCUCGGUGGAGGAGUAGAAGCGCUGGUCCCCUUCGGUCAAGUGCUUGUGCGUGCUGUUACCUACCGUAGGACCUCCGUCCCCGAAGCGAAGAAAGAGGAGCAGGAACAACAGGUUGUCCUCUCUUGGCCCAGUAGUUCCGCAACUACUACCGUGGUUGUUGCCAACGGGGAUCCCCCAUUCCGAAAGGUAACGGGGCCGGCCGUUAGGUCCAAAGUUGUCUGCCACUGCUGUGGUGCCGAUAGAUUCAAAACUUCAGCGCCGUUAUCAGACAUUGCAGGCUUAGCAUCUAUUUUUCGUAUAUCGCUCCACACCGAGAAGAGGUAUGUGUACCUCCAGCAACAACAAGAAUGGAACCAUAGGCUCCUAUGCUGGGAGCAUUUCGGGGUAUAGGUCUAACCACCUCAACUCCCCGUUUCUGGCAUGCUAUAGUUCUUAUAGUUAGUCUCUCGACGACGGGAAUGGGAGAUUACCGGUAAGCCAGAUGCUUCGCGAACCACCGGUACAUUUCGUUGCACUUAAAUCACCCUCGUUAAGAGGCGCACUCCGAUACCAUUGAUGUCCAAUAGCUUUUAUAGUAAUGGCUGGAUCUACUACUACCUCGUCCAUUGAGUAUAACAGAGCAAACGAUGGUAUAGCAAUGAACAUCGGGAUGAUACUUGGAAAUAUGGUCCGAAUAAUCUCGAUAGUCGUUCCAUGAACAAUCCUUUGCGGGAUUGGAUUUUUUUGCUCGUGGAAAUGCCAUAAAGCGCGAACCAACAUCCGUGAUACGAAAACAAAAAUCAGAAUGAGGAAGAAAAAGAUAUCGUGAUGUAAGUCAAUGAUUCCUUGCAUAAUAGGUGUUGCUGCGUCUUGAGAUCCUAAUUGCCAUGGUUCCGCAGCAUCACAAGGAGCGAUUGUGAGGAAUCGCCAUUCUAAAAAUACUUCAAUCAUUUUCAUUUCCAUUCUGUGACUGCUCUGCUCCCGAAAAGAAAAAGGAGACUUAUAGAGACUUGGCCUUGGUUUUUCCAACUAAAGUCUGAUGGGAGAAUGGCAUGCAAUGCGCAUUCUUUUCGAUAGCUUUCACAUUUGCGGUAGACUGAACACCCACCCAAUCUCGAAUGGAAAAGACAACUACUACGUAGAUUCGCUAGCGACUACGGCCGUUAUCCCCCCCUACUUACUUCAAUUAAAGCUCGCGACUACGUACUACUGAAUGGCUCGUUCCGGCCGAUACGUACCGCGACUACUAAUUCAAAGUCUUGUUGAUUCGCUAGCGCCUAUCACGCGAUCGCGCUAGCGCCCUAUUGCGCCUAUAUAGCCAUAGAGCUACUGCGUGUAGGCGUGGGUCCGUUCUGUAUGGCCUCAGAGCGUUGAAGACGACUUUGUUCGACCAAUGACAGUUGACCCGACCCCAGCAAGAAGCGCAUAGCAGAUCUAUCUUUGCUUCAUCCAUCCUUAGCGCAUCCGCAUCUGCUUUAUCAAAGAGCCGCUUCUUCAUGCGCAUCUUUCUUCCCUAACGAGGCGAACCAACCACCCUGCAGGCGUGGGCUCUCCAUUUAGGUAGCUUCCUGGAUCUCCCGCAAUAAGCGCAAGUGGUUCCGCCGGACGAAGUUGUAGUUGGUUCGUUUUCGUAUGAUGAUUGCUCGCGAACCUACCUUCACGGCUCGUUCCUUCGGAACCUGUGUGUCUUUACCAACUCGGUCCGCCCGGUGAGCGCUCACGACUAAGCGAGACUCGGAUGCUGUCUCAUUCGCUGUCUCGCAAUACAUUUUUCUUUUUCCGAUACGGCUCGCGACCUAAAAAAAUCCCGGCCCACUCGCCACGGUCCACUCGUUCACUCGCUGCUUCAAGUAAACCACUCGAUGCUCUCUCGCAAUCGAUUAGUCUCGCUUCGUCUCUUGCGACGAAGCUUUUUAGAUACUCCUUUCGCCUUUAUGCAUGCGGGAUUUUCUUCUUUUAUUCAAUUGUUAUGUAGUGCCGGAUUUAGAGGCAAGGGUACAAAAGAUUUGACUCACUGUAGACAUUAAGAAGAGGAGACAACCAGCUCUUGGACUAUAAAAAUGCGCGUGCUCGAUCUAGUAAUCUUGGACAAUUUUUGAUGAACUGUCACUAAACUCAAAAAGAAAGAAGAGAAAAAACUGGGAGUUGGCGCCUACAUAACUGGUAGCUUGCUUACCAAGCCGUCCUGGCAAGCUCCUCCAGUUCGAUUAUUAUUCUUGACUUGACUUAUUAUUAAGAAAACUACUCACUAUCCAAAUGAAAGACGAUCUAGAAUCUACCCAAGAAGAUAGAGAGUCCCACAUACGAGAAAAGGUCACAAAUGGAGUUGAACCAAGUAACAUUGCAAAGGCAUAAUGAUAGUAGGGUCGGGAUAUCCCCGCCCUCCGAACCGGACGUGAGGGUCUCCCCUCAUCCGGCUCUCUGCAGGGGAAUCUCCACUCACUGCUUCCCCUAAUAUCCUCCCUUUACCACAUCAUCAUGGGGGUUUACAGGAGAUCCCAGAGGCUCGCUCGGAAAGGCUGCUAUACCAAACAAUAUUACUUAACUACAAAGAAAUAAAAGACUUUAGUAGUCACUAGACUCACUAUAGUAGUCCGUCCGGCUGCUCUUGCUUAAAUCAUUACUCUUCAUUCUCCCGUGCUCUAGCAAUUGCGCUCCCUAGACCACUACCAUGUAGUUAGGUAGGGACAAUCAAUCCAUAGUUACGGGAAUAACGGAAUGAAUGGGGAUCCCUAUCAAUAUCAAAAUGAAGAUUCUUAUAUAAGAAAUCCUUUCUUUCCAUAGAUGUAUCUGGUCUGAGACGGUACAGUACUCUACGAGAGGAAUGCAAUGGGAUGGAUGGUAGAGGGCUGCCUGCGCCCAAAAGCGAUGAUUCACUUGUCCCCUUGUCUAUAGGGACCUCGUGGCAUACAACCGCCACGACUCCUGCGUUAUAGCCGCCCCUUUCUCUCUUUCUUUUGACUGCCUCGUGGACGGACGAAAGAAGGGAAGUUACAGAACGGGGCAGUGAAGGCUCGCGAAGUAGACAGCAAGCCCCCACCCCGUAAGUCCUGUGUUGCCGUAGCGCGCCCUACUUCAAUAAGGGCUGUUUCCCUCGCUUAUUUUAAAGCUCGCUAGGGGAUGGGAUUCAUUCACUUGCAUUCCUGCUAGCACUACAAAAAGCUCCGGUCUUAACGCCCUUACGGAAGCUGUGCAGCCUUUCCUCGGGUUCGUAGAGUCGGGUUUCCCGUUUACCCACAACGGAGGAGCCGCCCCCACCAACCAAAGCAGGCAGGCGGCCACGGUUCAUAACGCACUCUUCGCACAACAGAUCCACUUUGAAGUUGACUUAUUCGCUCGGCCAAUCGUCGGAAUGUGUACGAGAUACCAUAAGGGCCCAAUAUCUCAAUAGCACCCUUGUCUAAAGCUUCGAAUGAGACUGAAUAUCCGAAACGCAGGAACGAUCUGACUAGAAAGUCAUUCAAAACUUGAUCGAAGAACCAGCGUUUAUUGAAGAAGCAAUAGAGUCGAUUACAAAAAGUACUAGUUUGAAAGGCUCGUUGGAAUUGAUCCGCUACGGGAUUUACAUUAUACGCUAGAGAAGCACCUGAAGUACUAAACAGAAUAGGUAUUAGUUUUGUAAUGGUUGGAGCAGCAAACUCGGAUUCGGCAAGAAUCUCAUUUUUUGGUAGUACGAAGGGGGAAUUGGCCCAAAAAUUGGAUAGGGGUAAAGACGCAGCCGGGCGCCGGCGGCUUAUUCAAGUGCCCCCCGAACCGCGCGAAAUGGUCGCCUAUUACACGGCUCACAAACUCUGCCUGGGGUGAGGGUACCUAUUAUUCGUCGGCGGUACGGCGCACGCAGGGCCUCGGUUUGCUGCGUGGACUUCCUACAGAGUGCAAUGGAACCCAGCUCAGCUCCGCCGAGCCAAAAGGAAAGAACCGCCGGAGGCGAACAGUAGAGUAUAGCCAAGAGGCUUUCGUCGUCCGUAAAGGACCUAACGGAAGACCGUGCUCCGAAGUUCACUGAGAGUUUUCUUUUAAGAACACUUGACCUUACCCCUUCUAUUGAGCCAUGUCUAGGUGGAAUCGGCAAGAUUGAACCGAGGCCCGCCCGGCCACCGCCGGGGGGACAACCAGACCAACCAGUAGGGUUUCUUUCCGAAGUUUCCUCCCGGGGCCCUUAAAUCAUUGAAUUCAUAGGCAUAGGGGCGUCCCAGGCAGUGGUCCAAUGAGAAAGAAAGACAGGAGGGCAGGAUUCGUCGUGGUCGGGCGAAUUAAUUCCAUUAAAGAAAAAGGAACGGAGUCACCUGAGCUACGCGAAGGGAAGGAAGUCGUGGGCUGAGCCGGAGGUCACUUUUCCCGAUCCAUCCCGAAGGUUUUUUUCCCUCUCUCGCCCAUCAUCGUACCCAGCCCAGCUAUCGGCUCAGCCCUAUCUAUUCAUCUCUUUUUUUUUCACAUGGAUAUUUUGGGAUCUCUCUUGUUCAUCGAUCUUGAAACCGGAUCAAUAGAAAUUUCUCAAUGGGUCCAUCUAUCUAUAGAAAGAUCUAGAUCUCUAUCAGAAUCUAUCUCUAUAUCUAAAUAUGGAAGAACCUUCGAAGCCUGUCCCCGAUAUUGUUCUCCUACGAUGUCCCCUGGGCGAAAGGGGCCACCAUUCUCUUUCUUUCCUCAAUCGUUCCGAUCAUUUCUCCAUUUCAUUCCCCUUUGGUUGGGGGCCCCGGGUUGGUUCGUUUCCUCCUCCUAUCUACGCAAUUCUCUGUCUUCGUUCGUGAUCAUGUUAGGCGAAAAGAUAGGUCAAAAUUUUGUAGAGGGGCGGCUGUGAAACGGCGAUUCCCCUUUUUCCAUUGAAGUAGGGAGGGCCCCCUUCCCCACCAUUCCGACCUAUUAAGGGAUUUGACCGAUGCUGAAGGUAGCUUGCUUACCAAGCCACCCACUGGAGAAGCUAGUCGCCAGAAGAGUGUCGCCAGAAAGAAGCGAGUUUUGUUUACGAAACGAGCUCAGACGACUGAAGUUUACGAAAGGAGUCACUAAGGGGCGAGCAAUAGGUUUAGUGUAGUUGUCAAAUCCAAUCCAACUUGUACUAUAAUGUUUUCACAUCAAAGUGCAAAAGAGAUUCAACGCCCUGGUUCUCACUCAACAGUAGACCAAUCCGCGAGGAAUGCUGAUGGGCUACCAUCGGACUGCGAGCGCGCGAGAGCGAGAGACGGACUGACGACGAGCUGCACGCGAGACAGAGAGAGAGCUGUGAGAGAGAAGAGAAAGACCCGAUUAGGGUUAGGGAGAAGGACCACCAGCUUUCCGGCGAUAAGAUGAAACAAUCCGGCAGAUAAUUCUGGCCGGGUUCGAUCAUCGCUCUGAUACCAUGUGAAGAAAAAACAGAGUUCAGAGGGAGAAGAUUCAUUACUUACCAAAAAGAGGGAUCUUAAGGGUAAAUAAAAGCGUACUCUAUUGACAGUACGACAAGUAUACAAUGGAACAAUAUAUAAAAAAAAAUCCCUAAACAUAAAAAAAAAUUUUCAAACAAAUACAUGUCUCAACAUUGUAGGCCGCCUUGUGAGUCUCCUAUAGAACAGAGGCAUAGACUCACUUCAGAGGACGGCGAGUUCAUUGAAGAUUGUCUCAGUUCAGCAGCAUGGUUGGGAGUAACUAACGUGUAUAUAACCAUCACACGACCCGACAUUGCCUAUGUUGUUGGAGUCGUGAGUAAAUUCAUGCAGAAGCCAAGAACGAACGAUACAUCUAGAUGCCGCAUAAAGAUUAUAUAUUUAUUUAUUUAUUUAUUUAUAUUUAUAUAUAUAAAUAAAUAAUCUUUAGGAAAACGUUCUAUCCACUUACAAUAUAACAAAAGGAGAGAGAGGGAUUCGAACCCUCGAUAGUUCGUUGUUCAGAACUAUACCGGUUUUCAAGACCGGAGCUAUCAACCACUCGGCCAUCUCUCCCAGAGGUAAUCUCUAUUUUAUUCUUACGAAUAGAACAUUUAUUCCUACGAAUAGAACAUGACCAUAUUAGAUGAUACACUAACUAUCCGUAGAAACAUCCCAGAUGCGAAUUCAUAUUUCGAUGUAUCUAUCUGUAUACUAUAUGCAUAGUAUAUAUGCAUGAUCCAGUAUGUUUGUUUGUGAAGAAAAUACUAAACUUCCCUCGACUCCAUGUCCGAAUAGAGUGGUAAUUAAUUUUACCGAAUCAAUUGAUUCAUGUCAAAUCCCUCCAUGAUGCAUUUUAUUACAAUUUUGACUAAGCGAGGGAUCAAAUGGUAUAGUUCAUUUGUUGGUAGCUUGGAGGAUUACAAACAUGACUAUUGCUUUCCAAUUAGCUGUUUUUGCAUUAAUUGCGACUUCAUCAAUCUUACUGAUUAGUGUACCCGUUGUAUUUGCUUCUUCUGAUGGUUGGUCAAGUAACAAAAAUAUUGUAUUUUCCGGUACAUCAUUAUGGAUUGGAUUAGUCUUUCUGGUAGCUAUCCUUAAUUCUCUCAUCUCUUGAACUUAUUUGGUAUUUCCCCGAUCCAAAAAUGAAAUGCCACUCCUUCUACCUUCUAAUAAAUUCGGAUUGUGAGACAUUAAGAUUCAAUCUGAGUUACGAAAAAAAAAUGAUAUUGUUAUUAAUUGGAUAUAAUAAUAAGAUUAAGAUUAUCUUAAUUGAAAUCUUACUGUACUUUACUAUAGUAUCUGAGUAUCCGGCCCUGCACAAAUAUGAUCCAGACGCAUAUAUUAUAUAUGAUAUAUGUAAUAUAUGUGUGGACAUAUGCGUGCGUAUCAGGAACGAAGAAAAUGCGGAUAUGGUUGAAUGGUCAAAUUUCUCUUUGCCAAGGAGAAGAUGCGGGUUCGAUCCCCGCUAUCCGCCCACGAUGAAGUAAUGUACUAUGAAAAAAAAUGAGGUAUGGUUGACUACUAUACUGACUACUAUAGUAGUCAGUAUAGUAGUCAGUAUGGUCCCGCGGAGUUCUUACUUUUUCAUGUCUAAAAUCCGGUUCAUCCGAUUACUACAGAGAUGAACCCAACCCGGAAUAUGAACCGUAAAAGAAAAUACCUAUUAAACCGAUCACAAGAAUACCGGUUACAGUACCUAUCAGCCAAAGAGGAAUCCCUCCAGUAGUAUCGGCCAUUUCCCCCACUUUCCUCCACAUUUCAUCAAGUGGUCAUGCUAGAGACAAAAACAGUCAUAGAUAAUUAUGAGGAUAGUAUCUUUCCGAAUGGGAUAAGAGAAUUCCUACUAUUCUCUUUCUUUCUCUCAAUUGAAGAAAUAAUUGGAAAAUAAAACAGCAAGUACAAAAAUGAGUAAUAAACCCCAGUAUAGACUGGUACGAUUCAAUUCAACAUUUUGUUCAUUCGGGUUUGAUUGUGUCAUAGCUCUAUAAUUCGAAUUAGGUUUAUCGUUGGAUGAACUGCAUUGCUGAUAUUGACCCCAAGAAAAAAACGGUAGGUACAGCUAAUCCGUGAACAGCCAACCAUCGUACUGUAAAAAUUGGAUAGGUUCGAUCUAUGGUCAUUGGAGGGCCUCCUAAAAGGAUCUACUAAAUUUAUCGAGUUGUUCCAAAGAAUCAAAACGGCCGGUUAUCAACGGAAUACCUUGUCGGCUCUCUGUGAAAUACUCGUUUGGCCGAGGACUUCCAAACACGUCGUAAGCUAAACCCGUACUGACGAAUAACCAACCCGCAAUGAAUAGGGAAGGUAUAGUAAUGCUAUGAAUGACCCAGUAUCGAAUACUGGUAAUAAUAUCAGCAAAAGAACGUUCUCCCGUGCUUCCAGACAUUCUGAGCUCCACAAAUUUUUGUACAUUCAAAACAAAAAAGAAAUCGAUUCCGUGAAAGAUGGGAUCAGUAAAUGGAAAACUACGGAUAUUUCAUCUUUGUGAGAUCGUCCAUUUUGUACCAAAGGUGUAUUUCGAGUAUACCGAAUCAGUAUAGCUAUCCUUCCUCUGGCACAGCAACGCAGUCUCGAUGGGUACCGAAAUACUACAUAAUUAUUUUUUCUUCUUUUUUUGUUCCUUGUCUAUGCAUAACUGUAUGUUAUUCAAUAGAUCAAUAGAAAAUUCCUAAAAUUCCUUAUAAGGUGUUUCCAUUAUUGGCUUCGUAAUAGAAAGUAAAGAUCUUGGAAAAGUUUGAAUCAAUGGGUUCUAAUAAUUCAUGAAAGAUAUUAUCAUAUUCAAAAAUUUCAAUUAUAUUGAAAUCUAUAAACCCUUUUUUGGUUAAAAGUUUUUUUUGUUCGAAUCUUUCAUUUCAUUUCAAGUAAUUGGUUGGUCGUACAAUAAAUAAAAAUAAUAAAUUUAUUAUAAUAAAUAAAAAUAAUAAAUUUAUUAUAAUAAAUAAAAAUAAUAAAUUUAUUAUAAUAAAUAAAAAUACAAGAAUAGAUAAUAUUUAAUGAAAGAAAGAGAACAUAGUUGGAACAAUCAAUAUUCGUGAUGCAACAACGGUUGCAUUAGAUGCAAAACAAAGGUUCUUUCUUGACCGAACUACAAGUAUGGAACUCCAUGAUAUGGAAAGACAGAAUAUAGAACCUAAAAGGAUAAUGGAAGUUGUUCGUCUUUGAAUCGAGUUGGACCCUCCAAAAAGAAGAAAAAUGAAAGUAAAGGUUUGAUUUUUUUGAUAGAUCGUUUCGAUAUAUCGUAGGGCACUUUUUUUCUUCUCAUUCGAGAUAUUAUGGGCAAUUAACCAACCUAUUAAUGUACUGAAUCCAAUGAGUUAAAAAAAAAAGUCAAAGGUAAUAUCAGGUCGUUCGCCCCAAAAUGGAUUAGAUCCUUUUUAUUGAAAAAGAAAAGAAAUGAUCAAAAUGGAAGUUCUUUUCAAAUCAAAUUUUUUGAUUUUAUUCCAAAAUGACUUAAAUAGAAUUUCAUUUUUGAAUGAAGUUACACGACACAGUUCUUAUUACUAUUACUUUACUCAACUCACGAAUUGCACAAUGAAUCUGUCGAUUCGGAAUCACAGGACCGAUCGAUGUCACAGCUGAUGAAUCAAGAACUUUCAAUUGAACUAAACUAAUCCUGUCAAUUGGUUUUUUCUUACCGUCACUGUUGUAUCUGGGAAAAUGGAAACUUAGGUAAGUGUUUUAUCAACAUAUGUAACAAAAGAACAUAUCUAAUUUAGCUCUUUCAUGCCUACUAUAACUAGUUAUUUCGGUUUUCCACUGGCUGCUUUAACUAUAACCCCAGCUCUAUUGAUUGGUUUGAAUAAGAUACGACUUAUUUGAAAUGAAUUGAAUGAACAAUUCAAAAAAUGGAAUAUUUCUCUGAGAUUCCAGGUGUUCCAUGGUUCCUUUCCACAUCAAUUGCCAAUUCUUGGUUAUUGAGAUUCGCGGAUAAUUCAGAUUAAUAUUUAGGGAUAGAUUUUACCCAUCUUUUUAUCCCCUCAAAAAACCGAAAUGAUUGAAGUUUUUCUAUUUGGAAUCGUCUUAGGUCUAAUUCCUAUUACUUUGGCAGGAUUAUUCGUAACUGCAUAUUUACAAUACAGACGUGGUGAUCAGUUGGACCUUUGAUUGAGUAACAUUUAUUUUUUUUGAUUGACCUCCUCCCUGCGGGAGGUCAAAUUCAAGUUUCAAUUAAACUUUUUUUUGUUAAGUUUUUUUAUUGUGAUUCGACAUAACAUAAACGGAAUCACGCUCUGCAGGAUUUGAACCUACGACAUCGGGUUUUGGAGACCCGCGUUCUACCGAACUGAACUAAGAGCGCUUUCUUAUUACAGGAGAUACGACUGUAGUGUAAAGAAAAGGUUUUUUUACCCCCAAACAUAUCUUGCAUACGUAUAGCAUGCAAAAAUGAAAGAUUAUGUCCAAUUUCAAUCGAUCUUAAUUAAUAUUAAUCCCUCGUUACUGCCCAUAAGAGAAGUAAUAGGUAGGGAUGACAGGAUUUGAACCCGUGACCUCAAGGUUAUGAGCCUUGCGAGCUACCAAACUGCUCUACUCCGCGAUGAAGAACUGGGAACCAAUGGACGAAAAAAAAUUGGAUACACCCCUCUACCAUAUCUAUACAAAUAGAAUAGUCCAUUUAUACAGAAUGGUAAAGAGGGCCCCUCUAUGAUCAUAGAUCAUAGAGAUCUAUACAAAUAUGAAACGAUAUUUUUUUCCUUACCAACUUGAUCUUGUUGCGCCCGGUAACAAACAUGCAUGAACCAUUUCUCGAAGUAUGUGUCCAGAUAGCCCAAAGUCUCGAUAGUUAGCUCUAGGUCUUCCAGUCAAAAAACAACGUCGAUGAAGACGUAUAGGUGCACUAUUACGUGGUGGGGAUUGCAAUUUUCCAUGAAUUUCCCAUUUUUCACUCAACGAUGGAACUUCGCUUAUUUUUUUUUUGAAGAUCGACGAAUCAAAUGAUAUUUCUGUUCCAAUUUCUGCCGCUUCUUCUCCCUCUGAAUCAAACUUUUUCUUGCCAUAAUGUUCAGUUCCUAUUAUUAUCAAUUAUUAUUAUCAAUAAUACAGUUCGGAUCCUAGAUGUAAAAAUACAAGAAGGCAAAUCCUCCCUCUCCAUUGAAACAAAUGAGAUUGUUGCUGAUACAGUACAUAAAAAAAACUAAAUUAACCAAAUUUUCCUGAUGUAGAGGCAAUCAAGAAAGCUGCAUAAGUGAAUAUAUAACCUACGGAAAAGUGGGCUAAUCCAACCAAUCUUGCUUGCACAAUGGAAAGAGCCACUGGCUUAUCUCUCCAUCGAAUUAAAUUAGCCAAAGGUGUGCGUUCAUGAGCCCAUGCGUCAGUUUCAAUCAAUUCCUGCCAAUAUCCACGCCAGGAAAUUAAGAACAUAAAUCCAGUAGCCCAAACAAGAUGUCCAAAUAAGAACAUCCACGCCCAUACCGAUAAACUAUUCAUACCAAAAGGGUUAUAUCCAUUGAGUUGUUGUGAAGAGUUUAACCAUAGAUAAUCUCUUAACCAUCCCAUCAAAUAAGUGGAGGAUUCAUUAAAUUGUGAAACGUUACCCUGCCAUAAUGUGAUGUGUUUCCAAUGCCAAUAAAAAGUAACCCAUCCAAUGGUAUUUAACAUCCAGAAAACUGCCAAAAAAAAUGCGUCCCAAGCAGAAAUAUCACAAGUACCGCCGCGUCCUGGGCCGUCGCAAGGAAAACUAUAACCGAAAUCCUUUUUUUCUGGCAUUAACUUGGAACCACGUGCAUCUAAAGCACCUUUUACUAAAAUCAAUGUAGUUGUAUGCAAACCUAGAGCAAUAGCAUGAUGAACCAAGAAAUCUCCAGGACCUAUUGUUAAGAAGAGUGAAUUACUAUUCUCAUUAACAGCAUUCAACCAGCCAGGUAACCAUAUGCUUUGACCAGCAUUGAAUGCUGGACCAUUCGUUGAAGAUAAGAGUACAUCGAACCCAUAUGAGAAGUCUUACCAUGAGCGGAUUGUAUCCAUUGGGCAAAUAUGGGUUCGAUCAAGAUUUGUUUUUCCGGAGUACCAAAAGCGAGCAUGACGUCGUUAUGAACAUAAAGGCCCAAGGUAUGGAACCCGAGAAAGAGGCUGGCCCAACAACAAUGAGAUUUGAUAGCUUCUUUAUGGUCUAACAUUCUUGCCAAUACAUUAUCCUCAUUCUGUUCCGGAUUGUCAUCUCUAAUGAAGAAUAUAGCUCCAUGAGCAAAGGCUCCUGUCAUGAUGAACCCUGCGAUGUAUUGGUGAUGAGUAUAUAAGGCAGCUUGAGUAGUAAAGUCUUGUGCUAUGAAUGCAUAAGCAGGUAAAGAGUACAUGUGUUGAGCUACUAAGGAAGUAAUAACCCCUAAAGAGGCUAGAGCAAGACCUAAUUGAAAAUGAAUCGAAUUAUUGAUUGUGUCAUAAAGACCCUUAUGCCCACGUCCUAAUCGACCCCCCGGAGGAAUAUGUGUUUCUAAAAGAUCUUUGAUACUGUGUCCAAUUCCGAAGUUAGUUCUAUACAUAUGACCAGCAACGAGAAAAAUAAAUGCAAUAGCUAAAUGAUGAUGAGCAAUAUAGGUCAACCAUAAACUUUGCGUUUGUGAAUGGAAUCCCCCAAGAAGGGUUAGAAUGGCAGUUCCGGCUCCUUGGGAAGUACCAAAUAAAUGACUACUCGAAUCAGGGUUUUGAGCAUAAAGAUUCCACUGACCCGUAAAAAGUGGUCCCAACCCUUGAGGAUACGGUAAUACGUCUAAGAAAUUAUUCCAUCUGACGUACUCUCCCCUGGAUCCGGGAAUAGCGAUAUGAACUAAAUGUCCUGCCCAAGCCAAGGAACUUACUCCGAAAAGUCCUGACAAAUGAUGAUUGAGACGAGAUUCGGCAUUUUUGAACCACGAAACACUUGGUUUCCAUUUGGGUUGUAGAUGUAACCAACCCGCUAUUAAGGAUAUAGCAGAAAGAAAUAAUAGAAAAAGAGCUCCUGUAUAAAGAUCCUCAUUGGUGCGCAAUCUGAUUGUAUACCACCACUGAUAAACACCGGAAUAAGCGAUAUUCACUGGGCCGAUAGCACCCCCUCGAGUAAAGGCUUCUACAGCUGGUUGACCAAAAUGAGGAUAAAAAAUUGCAUGAGCAAUAGGUCUUACAUGUAAAGGGUCCUUUAUCCAUGACUCCAAAUUUCCUUGCCAAGCUACAUGAAACAGAUUUCCGGACGUCCACAGAAAGAUUAUUGCUAACUGCCCAAAAUGAGAAGCAAAAAUGUUCUGAUAAAGACGUUCCUCAGUAAUAUCAUCAUGACUCUCGAAGUCAUGUGCGGUAGCAAUACCAAACCAAAUACGACGAGUAGUGGGGUCCUGAGCUAAGCCGAGGCUAAACCUCGGAAAUCUUAAUGCCAUAAUGCCUUUCAAAUCCUCCUAGCCAUUAUCCUACUGCAAUAAUUCUUGCUAAGAAGAAUGCCCAUGUUGUGGCAAUUCCACCCAGAAGGUAAUGGGUUACUCCUACAGCACGUCCUUGUACAAUGCUCAAGGCUCUAGGCUGAGUAGCAGGAGCAACUUUUAAUUUGUUAUGAGCCCAAACGAUGGAUUCAAUGAGUUCUUGCCAAUAACCACGGCCACUGAAUAGAAACAUUAAACUGAAAGCCCAGAUAAAAUGAGCACCUAAGAAAAAAAGACCAUAUGCAGAUAAUGAAGAACCAUAAGACUGAAUUACCUGAGAUGCCUGUGCCCAUAAGAAAUCUCGGAGCCACCCAUUAAUAGUAAUGGAACUCUGUGCAAAGUUUCCUCCUGUGAUAUGAGUUACCACCCCUUGAUCACUUAUAGUACCCCAAACAUCCGACUGCAUUUUCCAACUGAAAUGGAAAAUGACUACCGAAAUUGAAUUGUACAUCCAGAAUAGACCUAAGAAGACAUGAUCCCAGGCGGAUACUUGACAUGUCCCCCCUCUUCCAGGUCCAUCACAAGGGAAACGAAAACCAAGAUUUGCUUUAUCAGGUAUCAAACGGGAACUGCGAGCAAAUAGAACACCCUUCAGUAGUAUCAAUACAGUCACAUGAAUCGUAAAUGCAUGAAUGUGAUGGACCAAAAAAUCUGCGGUUCCUAAUGGAAUAGGUAACAAAGCGACUUUGCCGCCUACUGCUACUAACUCACCACCCCCCCAAGUUAAGCUGGUACUUGUUGUUGCACCAGGAGCUGUUACCCCAGGUGCUCAAGCAUGAAUGUUUUGUACCCAUUGAGAAAAGAUGGGUUGUAAUUGUAUAGCGGUAUCUGAAAACAUAUCUUGGGGCCGCCCUAAAGCGCUCAUGGUAUCAUUAUGGUAUUAAGAGCUAAAUUGGCUAAAGGAAUGGGGCAUAAUUAUUAUGGAGAACCCGCAUGGCCCAAUGAUCUUUUAUAUAUUUUUCCAGUAGUAAUUCUAGGUACUCUCGCAUGUAAUGUAGGCUUAGCGGUUCUAGAACCGUCAAUGAUUGGUGAACCGGCAGAUCCAUUUGCAACUCCUUUGGAAAUAUUACCCGAAUGGUACUUCUUUCCCGUAUUUCAAAUACUCCGCACAGUGCCCAAUAAGUUAUUGGGUGUUCUUUUAAUGGUUUCAGUACCAAUGGGAUUAUUGACAGUACCUUUUUUUUAUAAUGUCAAUAAAUUCCAAAAUCCAUUUCGUCGUCCAGUAGCUACAACAGUCUUUUUGAUCGGUACCGUAGUAGCUCUUUGGUUAGGUAUUGGAGCAACAUUACCUAUUGAUAAAUCCCUAACUUUAGGUCUUUUUCAAAUUGAUUCAACUGUUAAAUACGAUGAUGUAGGUAUCUAGGGAAGAUUGACUUUGAAGUGAUUAUUCCCUAGAUACAUUAAUUUUAUUUUAUUAUGAUCCAUUCCGGGAAAAUACGGAUCGUGCCAAAGAUGAAAAACGAAUUUUCUUCUUUUUUUCUUUCUCAUUUUUUUUCUAUUAUCAAAAUUUAAUGAAAUAAU